AGUUAUAUUUCUUCUCUCUUUUCUACCAAUUGCCAUUGCUUGACGUGGAAAAAAGAAAACGAAAAACAACGAACAAAAUGUGAGUUAUGGUAUCUCAUUACCUGCGGUCUGCUGAGUCUAUGGUAUCUCCCCUCUACGUUCCCUCUCCACUCUGGCUUUUGAACUAAUAGAUGUCGAGGGGCUGCCUUCCUAGAAUACCAUCCUGAUAAUUCUGUGGAACAUUCUAAGUGGUUUCCAGCUCCCAUGGACUUUAAUUCAUAACAGAAGAGCCUGAGAAUGUUGGCUGUUGGCCUCUUAUCAUCUGUGUGCAGAAUUGUCUCCUCAAGGCUGGGUCUGCUGAGGGGCUUGCUGCACUUCUCUCCUAAGGGCAAUGUUCCACAAUCAUCCAUCCAUUUCCGGAUUCCUGAACACUAGGAAGAGAAGACUGAUUAUGACUUCUAUGAUCAGGAAGUAGUUUGUGCAUUGGACAUUGGAUGGUCUCACCAGCUCCUUCCCCAGUUCACUUUGGUUUUUCUCUCCCCAAAGCCACGCCAUUCAGUGACUUCCACCUCUCACUCGGCCAGCUCUGGGUUGAGUCAGACUGGCAUGUCCUUAUCUCCAAACUACUGAGCUUGGCUUGAGAGGGCAUGACAGCUGCUCCAAUUUUGGGCUUGAAGAAACUGGCGUGGCAGAGAGUAGAGAGACCCGGGGAUACAGGCUGGAAAGGAUAAGUCCAGCCAUGGGUAAAAUCUUCCGGAUGUUUGCAGUCAUUGGUCUAAGAUCUGUGCAAUCAAGCUGUCCAAUCUCUGCUUGCCUGACAGCGGUUUCAAAGACAGAAUACCUGGAAGAGGACUCCGUGGCUCCAGGAAACAGUUGUGGAGCUGGGUAUCGGUGACAGCUCUUGUGAGCUACUAAGACUUAGCAGAGGGAAGGAGAAAAUGUCCUUCCUUCUUCCUUCAUCAAGCCAUGUAAAAAAAACUGGAACAAGAUGCUGUCUGUUCUGAUGAUGUGGGUGAGAAGCACCUGUCAC